AGAAUCAACGCUGGCGGCGUGCCUAACACAUGCAAGUCGAACGAGAAAGUGGAGCAAUCCAUGAGUAAAGUGGCGCACGGGUGAGUAACACGUGACUAACCUACCCUUGAGUGGGGAAUAACCUAGGGAAACCUGGGCUAAUACCGCAUAACACCUACGGGUCAAAGGAGCAAUUCGCUUAAGGAGGGGGUCGCGGCAGAUUAGCUAGUUGGCGGGGUAAUGGCCCACCAAGGCAGUGAUCUGUAUCCGGCCUGAGAGGGCGCACGGACACACUGGAACUGAAACACGGUCCAGACUCCUACGGGAGGCAGCAGUGGGGAAUUUUGCGCAAUGGGGGAAACCCUGACGCAGCAACGCCGCGUGGAGGAUGAAGUCCCUUGGGACGUAAACUCCUUUCGACCGGGAAGAUUAUGACGGUACCGGAAGAGAAGCCCGGCUAACUUCGCGCCAGCAGCCGC
rnacentral:rRNA from 1 species